GACAGAGGGUGCAAACGUUGUUCGGAUUUACUGGGCGUAAAGCGCGUGUAGGCGGCUUGGCAAGUUGGAUGUGAAAGCCCACGGCUCAACCGUGGAAGCGCAUCCAAAACUGCUUCGCUCGAGUCUCGGAGAGGAAGGUAGAAUGCUUGGUGUAGAGGUGAAAUUCGUAGAUAUCAAGCAGAACACCUGCGGCGAAGGCGGCCUUCUGGACGAUGACUGACGCUGAGACGCGAAAGCGUGGGGAGCAAACAGG
rnacentral:rRNA from 1 species